rnacentral:rRNA from 1 species
UACGAAGGGUGCAAGCGUUGUUCGGAAUCACUGGGCUUAAAGCGUGCGCAGGCGGAUCAGCAAGUCAGGAGUGAAAUCCCCGGGCUCAACCCGGGAACUGCUUUUGAAACUAUUGAUCUAGAAUCCCGGAGGGGCCAGUAGAAUUCCGAGUGUAGAGGUGAAAUUCGCAGAUAUUCGGAGGAAUACCAGUGGCGUAGGCGACUGGCUGGACGGGCAUUGACGCUCAGGCAAGAAAGCGUGGGGAGCAAACAGG